AGCAAAAGGACAAACAAAAUGAACAGUGACAUGACUUUUUUGACCCUUUCUGUUCACUAUUUUACUGAAAUGCCACUGACACCUGUUCAUCAGCUGAGCCACCGCCGAAUUCUUGCGUGGCUUCCUUUCGUUGCUGCAGAAACAGAUAGUGGGUGAGAGAGGAACAGAUUGACAAAGAGCAAACUAUGCUCUUCUUUGUUUUGAUUGUCUUCGUCGACCAACACCGAUCGUCUGUAACUGGGGCUUAAGAUCUAUUUCAAGACCCACUGAGGGAAGGUACAAGCUUCACUACGAGAAGGCUCAUCCUUUGGGUCUUCUUUACUACCCACAUGGCAAAAAUGUCAUCAGAUGAAGAAAGAAGCCAGCAUGGACUUUUACCUGAAUUUUAAACCCCACUGGAGUCACAAUCAUAGAAGAAGACAAAAUGGAAAGUUCUGAAGAGCUGUUGUUCAUUGAUCUAGCUACUAUAAGGAAAGCUACCAAUGACUUUUCAGAUUCAAACAAGCUUGGACAAGGUGGAUUGGUGCUGUGUACAAGGUAAUAUAGCUCCUAUAGUUCUAGAUGGUGAAGUAAUGGUUCAUAGUUGGCUGAGUAAGACCAAAUGUGUGCAAUUUUGGAAGUACUCUCAGGGUUGGCUAGCUGGGAAAGAAGUAGCUGUUAAAGACUAUCAAAAAAAGUCGUGGCAAGGCUUAGAGGAAAUUGCAGUAAUAGUAUACAAAAUGAACUUUGGCUUAAAUAAUUUUUGUAUACAUAAUUUGGCUCAAAAGAAGAUGUCAUUAUUGUGCUAACCAUUUCAAUUUUCUAAUGAACUUUGGCUUAAAAAA